UUAUGAAUUAUUGAAUGUUCCGAAGUUCUGAAAUAAUUGAUUUUUAGAAGUUUUAUUUAUGUUUAUUUAGAAAAACCGUUUUUGAGUCUCAUUAAACAUGUGUUAUGGCUGAAUUCAGAUGGUCAGGGUGGGCUAAGGAAAAUUUGUUAAAUAUAUUAAUAUUUUAUUAAAUUUUUUACUUUGGUGUUCUAAGCAUUUUCCUAUAAAUAGGAAGCUUAGGUUAGAAUUGAAAAUCAUUCCAGAAACUGAAGUUUUCUCUCUACUUCUCUGUCUAUAUUAUUGAGUGUAUUCUUGUGAGUAUUUUGAUAUCUUGAGUGUUGCUAUACGGUGCAAGUUCGUUCAGCGUUAUUCCAGUACGGCUCUUUUGAGGUAAGGGAUUGUAAGGGAUUUUAAGGGUUGUUAUAUUUUUCAUGUUUCGUAACUUUUCUG
rnacentral:lncRNA from 1 species